GGACAUGAGUACUGUGCUGUGGUUUUAGGUAACCGUUGAUGAUUUUAGAUAUUAAAGAUGAUUCAUAUGACAUUAAGAUUUAGUUGCCAUAGAAGAAAAGUAGGAUGAAUAUGAUAUGAAUUUCCAGGUAUACCAUCAACUGUUUCUGUUACACUUAAUAUCAACAAAUAGCUCGUUAGUAAACAUUAGAGCUCCUGCGUUCUAUUGUAUUGUGUCAUUUCAGUAAAGAUUGGCACUGUCAGGGAAUUUCUUCUACUCUAUAAAUUUCACUUCAUCUAUUUUAAGUUUUUAUGAUGUGCUUUAAUGUAAAUGAGGCUACAUUUAUUUUUAGGAUAUUGAAAAAAUAAUAUAAACAUAUUUUCAUGAAACGCCAUCAAUUCGGGGCAAGGCUGCAGAUGAGACUGAAUGAACCGCACCAGACUAAGGUAUUAGCCGCCUGCAUCAGUCGUGAAGAGAAUGGUGCCGAGGCCCAAUCUGUACUUUUCUUGAGGAAUUGCAGCAGCCAGACUCAAAGGGCUUUUCCCGUUUUCCUAGUUUCAUCUGUAAAACCAAAGCCAGUAAAUGACCAUUUGUGGUUGAUUCUCUUGGUGGGUAAAGGAUAAGAAAUAACUGGAAUCUUAUAAAUCUCAAGGCAAGGACGACAAUAUUUAACAAUGGCGAAUCUUUUUACAAACUUACAAAGUUCAAGCCAGUGAAAUUCGUCUUGUGACAACUCCUAAUUGCUUCAUUCUUGAAGCUGAAAUGCUUAUGUAAUGGGCCCCAAGAAUUAGAUAACACCAAUCGGGAACACCGAAGGGCUGUGGUUUAGCUGCCAGAAGUAAGACUAUGGAUCCAGACUACUGAGACACAGAGACAAAUCUACAUAUUAGGAGCUGCCAGCCAAGGAACUGGUUUAGUAUCUGAGUGAAAAUUCAAACUUCUGUCACUGGAAUCAACAGCCUGUCUCAUUAAAAGAGCCAACCUGGAGCAAUAAAAGAAACCCUUCAUUCUCCACGUUGCUUUGGGUAGGACAUUUAAUUACAGCUCUGAAGAAAGUCCAAACUGCAGUACAAAAUUCUUAUUUCACACAUUCUGGCAGAUGGAAUUGGGGCACAGAGCUUAACAUUUUUUCUAUUGCGGACUUAAAUUCCAAAUUAAAAGAGGUCGUGGAAAUCAGAGUUCUUUGUUUUCCUGAAGUGAUAGUUCACUGUCGUCAUACAUGCCUAGGAACUUUGUAAAUAUUGUAGACUGCUGGGGUCAGUUGCAAAGAUUAUUUUGUAGCUUAGAAAGCCAGAGUUAAUGAGUAUUCAGCUGAUGGUAUAAUUAUGUUCUACAUGGUUUCUACUUAUAAUUGCAGGCAAAACCGUGGGGCGAUAAAAGGCAUUCUGUCCACUGGAAUCCGAAGUCAAGACCCCCGAUAUGGUCUGAGGUAGCAAAUGUCGUUCCAUGCAGGGCAUAGCUCCAGGAGCCACUUUCGUGUUCUUAUAAAUGGACAUCACUGUGACUUUAACAGAGGAAAUGCAAACACAAUGAAUAAGCCUUCCUUUUCACAUUCCAGGAAGUCUAUGGAGAAAGCAAGAAGAAGAAAGAUGUGAGAGUGUCAUGCAUGUUACAUGUUACAAGAAAUACAUUGGUGUGGCAGAGACUCAAGCACUACUCAUCGUGGUCAAGUUACCCAUGACUAGCAUCUUCUCCUCUCACGUGAACAAUCUGGACUGGCGACCAUCUUAACUGGAACAACUGGGUGAAUAAUUAACCAGCAUAAAAUUAUUUAAGGAGUCAAGUCUCAAGAGGCUGACACACCUGGGCUGAACCUGGAAGUCUCCAGGUUUUGAAUUUGCGAGGCGGCUUGAGCUAACCCUAGGGCACGAAGCUGAAGGGCAGCCAGCGCUGGGCUAUAAUGGUGGUGACUUCUCUACUCCUAAAUGAUCUAAGAACCUUCCAGCACUGUGAGAACUGGUUCACAGGGUGAAGCUUCUAGCUCAGUUUCUCUGAUUGAUAACAUACCUAUAGUAUCAUCAUUUCUACUGGUUUUUUGAAGUUCUGUUCUCAGAUGUAACUGCCGAGGUGCAGAGAAAGUCGAGCAAUGCCUGAAACACAUUGGGUACACCAAGACCUUAAUAUGAGCCACAGGCCUGAACCCAACAAGUGAAAAUUCCAGGGCAUCUAGUUUGGAAGAAUCACACUCGUGCAUGCCUUCACACUUGGUAUUCUGUGGACUUAUCAUUGUGUACUAAACACUUCUUAUUGCCUUGGUUUCCAGCUCUCCUCCUGAGUAGAAAUUCAGUAAAGAUCUCACCCAAUAACAUUGAUUUGCAGCGAUAUUUAUUCACAAUAGUCUUGCGAAGACAACGUUCAGAAAGAAUGGGAAGGCAACAGUGCACUAUUCUGGAGGAGAGAACACCUCAGCAGUAUCAAUCAGAGGCAUGGAUGGCUGGUGUCACUUUCAGGAGAAUAGAAAGGAGUUCUGAAAACUGAGGAAGAGCUCUCUGCAAUAUGCCUGAAAAGUCGACAGGAUAGAACUGGCCUGAUGCAAGGCAGACAUUAGGAGCCCCUGUAAAGCAGCUUGUUAGCUGAAUGGAGCGAUGGGGAGCCUCACAUCUAACAGCCCUGCUGGCAGGGGUUCCUGCUGUCCUGGUAAAGUGCGGCAUGUUGGCAUGUUUUUCUCAACAGUGGUGAUAAUACCAUCGAGCUCUCCCUGAACUACUUGUA